UUUAAGGACAGCUAGGUUGUCAGGUGGGUAGAAUGCCAGGCCUGGAGUCAGGAAGACCUGAGUUCAAAUGUGACCUCAGAAACUUCCUAGCUGUGUGACCCUUGAGCAAGUCACAACCCUGUUGGUCUCAGUUUCCUCAUCUUAGGUCCUGAAGAGUUGGACAAGACUGAAACAGCUGAAUUCUGCGCAUCUAUGACAUUUGAAUUUGAAAUAGAGCUGAGGGUUGUCAUCUGGGAAGAAGAGAAGCCUGGCCCUUUCCUAAUUCAGUUUUGGGCUGGGCCACGGCAAGGACUUAGUCCCUGCCCUGGAUGUCUGCUAACGUGAAAAUGAUGAGGCUUCCAGCCUUUUGGCGACUGCCUUGUAGGAAUUCUGAAGUUUUCUUCAUUACAGACAAGGCCUCCUCAAGACCCAGAUACCAAGUUUCAGCUAUUGAGUUUUCAAGAGUGGAAUUGGAUUUAUGCUCUGUAUAUUUAAAACUAAAGCAAAUUGAUAGAUGAUAAAACAAGAACAAGAACAAGAACAAGAACAAGCACUUUUCCCUUUUGCUUUCUGUAUUUUCAGGUGUUUGAGGUCUUUUAUCACAUAUCUGGUAGUAAUUCAUGACCAAAAGCCCUUAGGGCCUUUGUGUAUUAUGGUCCACCAGCCCUGAAAUUCAGCUGUCCCUUUUGAAAGAUAACAGGCCUUUAGGCAGUGUUCACCCCAUUGUCAAAUCCUCUGCUUGUAGUAGGUGUUCAAUAAAUCUUUGGUUGAUUGCUGAUAGCAAUUA